GACGAACGCUGGCGGCGUGCCUAAUACAUGCAAGUAGAACGCACAGUUUAUACCGUAGCUUGCUACACCAUAGACUGUGAGUUGCGAACGGGUGAGUAACGCGUAGGUAACCUGCCUGGUAGCGGGGGAUAACUAUUGGAAACGAUAGCUAAUACCGCAUAAUAUUGAUUAUUGCAUGAUAAUUGAUUGAAAGAUGCUAUUGCAUCACUACCAGAUGGACCUGCGUUGUAUUAGCUAGUAGGUGAGGUAACGGCUCACCUAGGCGACGAUACAUAGCCGACCUGGGAGGGUGGUCGGCCACACUGGGACUGAGACACGGCCCAGACUCCUACGGGAGGCAGCCGUAGGGAAUCUUCGGCAAUGGACGAAAGUCUGACCGAGCAACGCCGCGUGAGUGAAGAAGGUUUUCGGAUCGUAAAGAUCUGUUGUAAGAGAAGAACGGGUGUGAGAGUGGAAAGUUCACACUGUGACGGUAUCUUACCAGAAAGGGACGGCUAACUACGUG
rnacentral:rRNA from 1 species